GUGACAGGCCUGAUAGCCGACUUCUAAUCCGACGGUCGCGGGUUCGAAUCCUGCCGGGC
rnacentral:tRNA from 1 species